GUUGGGGGGAGGGGGGAGAGAUUCCUGUACUGGUUGAGCCUCGUGGGGACCCCCUCAGCUUCCCGGGUUCCAGGAAACUGGGUUGCGGGGCCACGGUCCCAGGGCCGUUGUCUCCGAGUGUGUGUAGGGUGGGGUUGGGACCGAGGCCCUGCUCUGGUUUCCACGGUGACGGGCCAUUUCGGCGCACGGGAGGGGAAGCCAAAGGAGAUAGUUUGAAGCACUAAGAAGGAUAAAACAUCAAUUUGAAAAGAGCCCCUAUCAGGACAACAUGAAUUCUGCUAAGAUUGAAGCAAGAACAAACAUCAAAUUUAUGGUGAAGCUUGGGUGGAAGAAUGGUGAAAUCAUUGAUGCUUUACAAAAAGUUUAUGGGGAACAAGCCCCAAAGAAAUCAGCAGUUUACAAAUGGGUAACUCGUUUUAGGAAGGGACGAGAUGAUGUUGAAGAUGAUGCCCGCAGUGGCAGACCAUCCACGUCAAUUUGUGAGGAAAAAAUUAAUCUUGUCCGUGCCCUAAUUGAAGAGGACCAACAAUUAACAGCAGAAACAAUAGCCAAUACUAUAGACAUCUCGAUUGGUUCAGCGUACACAAUUCUGACUGAAAAAUUAAAGUUGAGCAAAUUUUCUGCGCGAUGGGUGCCUAAACUAUUGUGUCCAGAUCAGCUGCAGACCAGAGCAGAGAUUUCAAUGGAAAUUUUAAAUAUGUGGUAUCGAGAUCCUGAAGCAUUUCUUCGAAGAAUCGUAACAGGGGAUGAUACAUGGUUGUACAGGUGUGAUCCUGACGACAAAGCAUAAUCAAAGCAACAGCUUCUAAGAGUUGGAAAUGGUCUGGUCAAAGCAAAAGUUGAUGGGUUAAGAAUGAAAGUCAUUGGCAACAGUUCUGUGGGCUGCUCAAGGCGUUUUACUUGUUGACUUUCCGGAAGGCCAAAGAAUAAUUAUCUGCUUAUUAUGAGAGGUGUUUUGAGAAAGAUAGCUGAAGAUUUAGCAGGAAAACACCUGGGAAAACUUCACCAGAGUCCUUCUCCAUCAUGACAGUGAUCUUGCUCAUUCUUAUCAAGCAAGGGCAAUUUUGCAAGAUGGGAAAUGACAGUCCUGAUUUAGCUCCUUCUGAGUUGUUUGUUUUCUAAUCUUAAAAAAAAAAAAUCUUUACAGAGUACUCAUUUUUCUUCAGUUAAUAAUGUAAAAAAGACUGCAUUGACAUGGUUAAAUUCCCAGCACCCUUAGUUCUUUGGAACUGGACUAAAUGACUGGUAUCGUUGCUUAUAAAAGUAGCUUGAACUUGAUGGAGCUUGUUGAGAAAUAAAGUUUAUAUUUUUAAUUUUUGUUUUAAUUCCAUUUUUCUCAAACUUUUUGAAGCUUCCUUGUAUUUUACAAGCAUGUUGUACAGAUUCAGUAAGUUUAUAUUUAUAUAGUACUGGGCAUAUUGUUACUACUGCAUCCAUGUUACCUAGAGCUACUAAAAUAAACGAUUGUUGUUGUUAUCAA